rnacentral:lncRNA from 1 species
AUUCGAAAGCAACUACUGGUAUACUUUAUUGAAUUUUGUGUAUGAUCCACAUAAAUUGGUAAUAAGUCUAACAAUUACAUGGAAUGAUUUUCUAACAUUAUGGUUUAACAUGACAUUCACUUUAGGAAGGGAUGCAGCAGUACAAUCCUCCAUUGCUCUUAACGCAGUGGCCUUUGUUCUCGCCAUAGCCAAGCAGUUCACACUUUAUGUUGCAGUUAAGCAUGACAAAGUCAGAUGGUCUCGCGCACACUGGAAAACUAAAGCAUAGUUUUCCAAGUGGAACCUUGGUACCUAAACACAAGGAAGGAAGCACCACAACAUAUAAAUUAGUACAUAUGGAAUACAUGACCCAUAUUCAUUUGGGCAUGUUGAUUAUCGGGAAACUCGUCCAAGAAACAUAUUCGGAAAUUACCUAUAUCCAAUACUGCUAUAGCAGGGCGACACAAAAAAGUGGUGCACGUCAAGAGAAGAGCAACGAAAUAGAGAAUAUGUGUGUCGUUCUUGACAAGUGACAUGAUCAAUCUGGCUUGCUAUUACUUAUUCUCUGUUGAUGUUUUCCUUCUCUCAAUGUAUGCUUCCUACACUGGUG